UACACACGUCAUACAAUGGCCGGUACAGAGGGUAGCCAACCCGCGAGGGGGAGCCAAUCCCACAAAGCCGGUCGUAGUCCGGAUCGCAGUCUGCAACUCGACUGCGUGAAGUCGGAAUCGCUAGUAAUCGCGGAUCAGCAUGUCGCGGUGAAUACGUUCCCGGGUCUU
rnacentral:rRNA from 1 species